rnacentral:sRNA from 1 species
UUUUUGCGUUAGUGGUAGUAACGGCAUCCUUUUUUUUAGCGUCUUUCUCGUUAAAAAAAGAUAUAGUGGAUGGCACGACUCUAA